GCAGAGAUGCCGCUAACCCCAUUGCACCACAGCAGGAACUCCUGUGAUAGCUCCUCGUGGGAACGCAGAGGGCUAAACUCUCUUUUCUCCCUCCACUUCCAUCACUCAUGUCACCCUUUCCACCUGGCUCCAUCCCCAUGUGGUAAUUUUCACUCAGUCAAUAUUCAGUGUUUACAUUACUAUACUAUUUAAAUGCUGGGUGUUCCUGCUGGCUCAGUGGUUAAUGAAUCCAACUAGGAACCAUGAGGUUUCAAGUUCUAUCCCGGGCCUUGCUCAGUGGGUUAAGGAUCUGGCAUUGCUGUGAGCUGUGGUGUGGGUCUCAGAUGCGCCUCAGAUCCUGUGUUGCUGAUCCAAGCCCUCUACAAUUUCCAUGGGAAAUUGACCUGUUUAAAGUUUGAAAAAAAUUUCAGCAGCAAUGUAAGUAUAUCAUUUAGAGAUAUCUGAAUGCCAAAAUAAUGAGAUGAGGGAAGAGAGAGUUAGGGAGAGGGCAGAGGAAGAGUGUAGGAGGUUUCUCAUAGCACAUCUUAGAGUGCUUGCUAUUCAGUUCUUUAAAAUCAGGCCUAGGAGUUCCUCGGUGGUGCAGCGGGUUAAGUAUCCAGUACUGUGACUGCAGCAGCCCAGGCUUCUGCCAUGACGAGGCUUCAGUCCCUGGCCCAGGAAUUUCCACAUACUCAGGCCCAGCCAAAAUGUGAACAAAUAAUAAAAUUAGGCCUAGAUACCUGUGACUUAAAAUCUGUAUAUUAUACAUAGAUUUCAAACUGAUUAACAAAGAUAAGAAGGAAAAACGUACCGAAAAGCCAAAUUAAUGAGCGCAUCUGUCUCCACCGCCAGAGGUGAGAGGUACAGACAGUGCUGAUCCCCGUCUGUGCAUCUUUCCCAGCAAACUGCUCUGUCCACAUGCUGUGGACGUGCCGCCUUGGUCGGAAGCUGAUGAAAUGAUGUCCCCUCACUUAGGGAUGAUAGGAUCCAGCUGGUCUCGGCCUUCUUGGAACAUCUCCCUUUUAUCUGCUUUUGUUUAUCUGCCACUCUUGGUUGUAUUUCUUUAGGACACUUUUUGAUCUUACAGACAGUACAGAUUAAUUCCUGAGCAUCGAGGCAUUGUAAGACCUGAAAAAUUCUGGAGUUUAAGGAGCUCCUUACCCCUUCUUCAGAAGGAAACGGUAUAUGCCUCUUACUUUAAAAGGCCAGGCUGGGAGAGGGGGUGGCCCCUCUCUCUUACCCGCGUGUCUUUUAUUUUGCCCACCUUACAGUCUCAGAAAGGGAGCGCCAAGGGGGCUUUCCCUUUUUCUGGUCACAAGGCUUUUAAUCUCAUUAAAACAGUGGACCUGCUCUUCAGAAAAAUUCCUGUGUACAGAUUUCCCACACACUUUAGGAGAAGCAGGGAGUCCCAGAAGCCCAUUCAGAGACCACUUAAGUGCCCAUGAACCUGCUCCGAGUCUGAUCCGUAUCACUUGUUCCGCUAAUAGAUUCUAAGUAAGCGUUGAGUUAAAUGACUGAAGGGACCCAAAGAGAGGGCUUCUGGUUCCAGCUGACUCACGGGUGAGAGCGAGGGCCCACAACCAAUGCACUCUUUUAUGACUUUGAUUUUCCUUCUGACAUCGGAAGGACUGGUUUGGACUCUCUCUCUUUCCCUGCUCUUUGGAUUCUGUCUGCCCUUGGAUGGUCCUCCACGCCCCCCCUUUAAGACUAUCUUCUCUCCGGCCUAGACACCUGAAUUUCUAGCCCCAGCUUAUAAAACAAGCCUUCAGCAGUAUGUCUUGCCAUUCUUAAAUAAAUAGAGAAGUAAUGCCCCAUGGUGCCCAGGUUGUUCUCCCUGUUGCAGGCUGCCAUCUGGCUCCAGUGGAUGUCUAGUGAACAUGUAUGUACUAGCUCUUAAAACCUACAUAAAGGUGUCAAAUGCCCAUCAUUAAAGACGAAUACUUUUUGAGAUAUUGCUUUACCAAUUAGCCACCAGGAGCUGUCGGGCCAAGUCCUAAUCAUUUAGCCAGUCGUGGACGUUUUGAAGAUGUCCAAGUCCAAAGGAGAGUUGGGGAUAUUUGGCAAGUUGAGGAGUGCUAAUAGUGCCAGGAUAACUACAUUCAGGAUGUUCUCAUUAUGAAAAUGCCUCCUUGCAGGCCACCUCCACUCCCUCAGCUAAUCACCAUCGGAAGUAACUGAGCAACAUUCCCCGAGCCCUGCCCUUUGCAGGAUAAUAAAACUUCCAGUGGCCAUGUGAGAAGCAAUAUAGUGGAGGUCAUAGGAGCUACCCAUGGAAUUAACCUUAUUCUGUCUGUGGUCCUUUCCUGUCUACCAAGGACAGUUCUGUCUCCAUUUAAGACCUUCUCUUGCGAUGCUGUCAGGUCGCUGUGUCUCAGAAUCACUCUGGGGACACACAGAAAGCAGGACCAGACAUUCUUGUUGUCACUGUCAGGCAUUUCCUUCAUUUUCUGGCUUCCCCUGGCCCUCUGCCUUCACCUGGCUCACUCCUGCGCAUAGCACAGCACUGUUGCUGUCACUCUAGCACUUAUCCUAACUGGCUUUAGCAAACCACCAGCUAGGAGGAUCUUGAAGACUUUGUGAUGGGUCACCAGGGUUUGCAGAAUGUUUCCUAUAAAAACAAUUUUGUUUUCCUUUCUUUGGCUUUAAAAACCAAAAGAUUACUCCAGGAGUUCCCGUCAUGGCUCAGUGGUUAAUGAAUCCGACUAGGAAUCAUGAGACUGUGCAUUCGAUCCCUGCCCUUGCUCAGUGGGUUAAGGAUCCAGCGUUGCCGUGAGCUGUGGUGUAGGCUGCAGACGUGGCUCCGAUCCCACGUUGUUAUGGGUGUGGUGUAGGCUGGCGGCUACAGCUCCGAUUCGACCCCUAGCCUGGGAACCUCCAUAUGCCGCGGGAGUGGCUCUAGAAAUGGCACACACACACAAAAAAAAAGAAUCUGAAAGAUUACUCCAAUAUGAUUAUCAAAGUCAUUAAAUCAAAACAUGAGGAGAAUUUCGUCAACGAUGGCCAGAAGUCCAGGAUCUGAGAACGCUGUUUAGUGGAACUUGGGAGGAACUUGAGGUGGAGGAGGAUGUGUCAGGGUGUGUCUUGCAAAGACACCACAGAACCAAAGCAAUGGGGGUGGUUACCCAGGAACCAGUUGCCUUAUGGAUAGAGAGCUAACUAGAAGAUUGUGUUGCUUUUUGCAGGUGUCCAUCAGGAACAAAGCAAAAAAGUUGGACUUAAACCAAAUAUAAAACCAAAACUUAGAUUAGGAAACAACAGAAUGUAGGACUCUUCCCAUUGCGAUGGAAGAUGGCUUUAGCUUUCACAAAGGGCAGGAAGUCUCAGAUUACAUGAUGAAAACCAUCUCCUCCUGGCUUAGACCAGGAGUGGUCGGUGCUUUUUUCAUUUAUGGCGAGCCUUUUAAGAAUUAUGUUUAUACGUUUGCUGUCAACGCCUCCACUGAGAGCCCAGGCUCUAUUUCCAUCUCCCCAGCCUCACACGCUGGUGCGCCUCUGAGCAAGACCAAUUAUUCAGCAUCCCCUAAGCAUUUACAUAUAAAACUCUUUGUUGUAUAUUUACAUAUGCUCCUCUUUAUGGUUGCUGAGGUCUUUCUCUUGCAGUUGCUAGGAAGUCUUAACUUCAUUGAAGCUAGGAGCCGUGUCUUUUUUCCCCUCAUCUUUUGGUUGCAUUUAGGGUAAGGCUGCAGUAAAAAGCCAGCCCUGAAACAUGUGGAUUGAUUUCACUAAUAAAUUUCUUUUCUGGGAUACAUGUCUCUGUGCCUCAGAACAGAAUUUCUGUGACUUCAGUUCAAUGUAUGUCUGAAGGGUUUUACAUUUCCCAAGAGCUCGUACUUAAAACAAUGCCAGAAGCCUAAAAGCACCAAUUUUCCUGUUCUAUUUUGUUAUGCUGCCACAUUUGACGGUGAAAGUCUCAUCUUUUCACACCCUCUGCCAUUGUUUUUAUGUGUCCACAUGUAGGAAUUAAAAUGAUCAUAGGUUGAACAGUGUUUUCCUUUUGAAGGAUUCUGUGUUUAACACUUGGCAACUGUUCUCCCCAGAAUCAACGAUAGGAUGUAGGCAUGUUUGACAGGGAAACUAGAAAAAAGCACUUUAUCAAGAUUGCUUUACACUAUCAAGGAAAAUAUGUGGAGAGGAAAUCAGAGAUGAGCAAGGGUGGCAGCCAUUGAUGGUUAUUGAAAUAGGGGUGUGAUUCAUGUGAGUUCCUGGUACCAUUCUUGCUACUUUGGGAUGAGUUCAUAAACGCCCAGAGAUUUAAAAUGAUUCAAAGAAAAUGAAGUUAAAAACCGGUCGGGAGAAAUCAUCUCUUUUUCCUCUUAUCUUUGGUUAAGAUUAUUUGGGUGCCUCCCCCUGGUAUGGGAAAUACAGUGACCGAACUGUAUUCUAGAAGUCCAUUGAAACCCUGGGUCUGUUGCUUCCAACCACUUUACCUAUUGAUGGCUCUGAAGACUUCAGAUUUCCUUUAGCUUUCCUCCUGGGUAUCGCGCGGAGGCCUAUUUUGUACACCAGGGAGACACAAGGGAAUGUCAUUUCAAAUGCCAAGAUGCAAUCUCUAUGCUCUGUUCAGUUGUGAUAAUGUCUGCGUUUCCCAGGAACUUCUCUCCGGUGUAAACUGCUUCUUUUCCAUGUCGUCUGUGCCACCACCUCAUCUUCUUGUUGUUAACUGAAGAAUUGUUCAUCUCUAUUUAGACUGCAGAUCUGCAUCUGCUUUAUGUUCUUCCAUCUGUUCCGCAUUGUAAUAUAGUAGGUGCUGCAUAACAUUUAAAGAAACAGUCAAGUUAGUGUGGGCCUGGGGCUUUCUCCUAGAGGGGAAGGUUCUUAGGCUGUUAACAGAAAUACAAAUGUGGUUUUACUACCAUGUAGCAAUCUCUCUGCCUUGAAAAAUUUGUAAAAAAAAAAAAGAAAAAGAAAAAAA
rnacentral:lncRNA from 1 species